AUGCAUCGCUGGCUGAGAACAAUGAUAACAACUUUUGAGAUUGAUCUUAGGCUUCCUCCUCUGUGUCCACGAGCUGCAAGUCAGCCUCUGCCUCUGAAUCGGUGUGCUAACGACGGGGGACAGGAGCCUGAGAGUGUGGCAUGCUGCUGUAAACUGAGAAGGGGAGAAGAGGCCUACUGCCAUGUUACUGACGGUGACGGGCUAGGCUGCUGUCUGCGCUCCCCCUCGCCGACGAGCAUGGACCUGCAAGGUCCCCAGCAGCAUACAUGGCUGGAGAUCCGGAGAGGCAGGGCUCGGCAAGCAGGGGCGGGGCAUAGAGCGCGGAGGCCUUGGCCAGAGCAUCCGCGCCCGUGUCGCCGUAACCAUCGGCCGGAUCCAACGCGCGCGAUUCUGACACCGCCCUGCCUCCUGCGCGUCCUCCUCCUCCUCCCGGCCGUUUAA
rnacentral:rRNA from 1 species